rnacentral:snRNA from 1 species
UAUUUACUAACAACAUACAAGUC